GACGAACGCUGGCGGCGUGCCUAAUACAUGCAAGUAGAACGCUGAAGGAGGAGCUUGCUUCUCCGGAUGAGUUGCGAACGGGUGAGUAACGCGUAGGUAACCUGCCUGGUAGCGGGGGAUAACUAUUGGAAACGAUAGCUAAUACCGCAUAAGAGUAGAUGUUGCAUGACAUUUGCUUAAAAGGUGCAAUUGCAUCACUACCAGAUGGACCUGCGUUGUAUUAGCUAGUUGGUGAGGUAACGGCUCACCUAGGCGACGAUACAUAGCCGACCUGAGAGGGUGAUCGGCCACACUGGGACUGAGACACGGCCCAGACUCCUACGGGAGGCAGCAGUAGGGAAUCUUCGGCAAUGGACGAAAGUCUGACCGAGCAACGCCGCGUGAGUGAAGAAGGUUUCCGGAUCGUAAAGCUCUGUUGUAAGAGAAGAACGGGUGUGAGAGUGGAAAGUUCACACUGUGACGGUAUCUUACCAGAAAGGGACGGCUAACUACGUGC
rnacentral:rRNA from 1 species